GUCCAAUAUUAGUUUAAUAAAGAGAAUCUGUAUCAGAAGGAGUUUGUCCAUAUAUUCCCUUAUAUUUUUUUAACCAUUCAUAAUACCAAUCUUUUUUCUUCGAUUUAAAAAUAGUAUUAUUAAUCAAGUCACAUUCCAUUGAAAUUUGGAACAUGAUUUGAUUAAUCAGAAUCCGUUUCUGAAACGGAUUUGAUGAUUUCCAAUGUCUCGCAAUAAUAAUUUUAACAGCAACUAAACAAUGAGUGGCAAAACAAAUAUCUUUCUGUAUUUUAAGAUUCCAAUUGAGAUACAAGAGAGCAGAGACAGUGUUUUCCAAAAUUCUGUUGGCAGUCAUAGUCGUAAAGAUAUUAAAAGCCCAAAACCAUAUAUGGAUAUAUGUACCUGGAUGACUACCACAUCUCCAGCAAGUAGAGUCAUAGGAAUCAUACAUUCUAGCUAAUCUAGUCAGAGUAUAAUACCAUCUAUAAAGGACCUUAAAGUGGCAUUCAGACAAAUUUAAACAAUGAAUAUGUUUAUUUAAAUGACUUAAGGAGGAAUACCAAUGUUUCAGAGGAAUCUCCAGUUCCAAUUUCUGUUCCCAGAUCCUAAUCAAUUUGUAGGGAGAUUCCUUAAGACCUUCCAACAUGGAAGCUGCAACAGAUGUAACCUUUUUAAUAGAAUGAUUGCUAAAUAUAAAUUCUAUUUUUUUGGCAAAUAAAGAAGAAG